AACGCUGGCGGCGUGCUUAAGCUUAUGCAAGUCGAACGAUUAAAGCUCCCUUCGGGGAGUGUAUAAAGUGGCGAACGGGUGAGUAACACGUGGGUAACCUACCCUCUGGUGGGGAAUAACACCUCGAAAGGGGUGCUAAUACCGCAUAAGUCCUUCAGUGGGCAUCCACUGAGGGAGAAAGGUUUCGGUCGCCGGAGGAUGGACCCGCGCGCUAUUAGCUAGUUUGUGGGGUAACGGCCUACCAAGGCUGCGAUGGCUAGCCGGCCUGAGAGGGCGUACGGCCACACUGGGACUGAGACAAGGCCCAGUCCCCUACGGGAGGCGCAGGCGGGAAUUGUUCCCAAUGGGCGCAAGCCUGAGGACGCGACGCCGCGUGAGGGAUGAAGGCUUUCGGGUUGUAAACCUCUGUCGUCAGGGAAGAACGGGUGGGGUAAUCCCCUACUCUGACGGUACCUGACAAGAAAGCCUCGGCUAACUACGUGCCAGCAGCCGCGGUAAUACGUAGGAGGCAAGCGUUGUCCGGAAUUACUGGGCAUAAAGGGUGCGCAGGCGGGCCGUUAAGUCGGCGGUGAAAUCCCGCGGCUCAACCGCGGAACUGCCGUCGAUACUGGCGGUCUAGAGUACGGGAGAGGAAAGCGGAACUCACGGUGUAGCGGUAAAAUGCGUAGAUAUCGUGGGGAACACCGGUGGCGAAGGCGGCUUUCUGGCCCGAUACUGACGCUCAGGCACGAAAGCCAGGGGAGCGAACAGGAUUAGAUACCCUGGUAGUCCUGGCUGUAAACGUUGGGCACUAGGUGUGGGAGGCAUUUACCCUUUCCGUGCCGAAGCUAAUGCAUUAAGUGCCCCGCCUGGGGAGUACGAUCGCAAGGUUGAAACUCAAAGGAAUUGACGGG
rnacentral:rRNA from 1 species